rnacentral:rRNA from 1 species
AUGAAACGCUUUAAUAAAUCUGUGAAAGUCCUAACCUGCAGCGUUCAAGGCGUCGAUCUCGGAACGCGCGAGCCGGAUAUACACAUCCUGCACGACCACCGGGUACUGCCUCAUGUCAAGCAGAUCCACGCCCCAAAUGACGCACCCGUGGCUGAUUCCCCCGCUAAUGUUGGCGGCGGCGUACGCCCUGCAGCUGCAGUUACCCAGGCACAGCUGCCUGCACUCGGCCAGGGUCAUGUCGGGGCGCACCGUCGCUUCCGUCGCCUCCGGCAGCUUCAUCCGGUUCACCGGCCAGAAGCCGUCUCCAGACCCACAGCUCAGGUUGGCGCUCCUGGUGCAGCCACCGGACCAGCCCCUCUGCUCCCACUGCUCCGGCGACCGGGGCUUGAACCCCGGCAGGCAGCUACACUUGGGGGGCUGGCCGACCUCGCACACGCCGAAACCGAAUGCCCCGCACUUGUAGUAGCUAUCACACGGGUCGCUCGGGUGGUACCAGUAGCUGCUCCACGCGCCGUUGCCCCACACGUAGCUCUGCAGCUGCCCCGUCGCGCCGUCCAGGAUCAGCCGCGACAGAGCCGACGGGUCGCUGACGUAGUAGGCAUAGUAUGUCUCGUCGGCGUUGGACACGACCAUGAACGUGUAGCCCUCGGCGUUGAGGUUCUGCACGCCGGUGAGCACCACGCCGUUCCACGGCCCGCUCGCGUAGAUCCUCUCCGGGCCGCGGAAAAGGAAGAACUCGGGCAGUCCGCCCAUGACCAGCUUGAACGUGUAGGCCCCCGGCGAGGGGUCGGUCGGGCUUCUACACGACGUGAUGUUUCUGGCGAUGCCCUUCUUGAGGUCCACCCCGAGCUUCAUGCCGGGCAGCAUCGUGUCCGUCGGGUAGUCGAAGCUCUGCCACGCCACGCUCUGGCUCGACCCACUCCCGUCAGAGCUCAGGACGAAGUUGCCGUCGUCGAGAAGCUGAGCGGUGACCUUGGUGGUUAUAUUUCUGGUGGGCGCCGCGGAGGACCAGACUGUGGUGUUCCGGCCGUCGACGAUGACCAGGCGGCCGUCGGGGGAGAGCUUGAGGACGCCGGGGGAGCUGACGACCGGGCUCCGGCGGUUGGCGACCCACACGACGGUCUGUACAGGGAUGCCCGCGUACCAAAUGCCGAGGUAGGCUCUGGCAUCGGAGCUUCCGGGCGGGUUGUAGAAGCCGAGCCUGAAGAUUCCACCGGCUGA